UUUGUCCUACGGGAGGCAGCAGUAGGGAAUUUUCGUCAAUGGGCGCAAGCCUGAACGAGCAAUGCCGCGUGAAGGAAGAAGGCUUUCGGGUUGUAAACUUCUUUUCUCAGGGACGAAGAAAGUGACGGUACCUGAGGAAUAAGCCACAGCUAACUACGUGCCAGCAGCCGCGGUAAUACGUAGGUGGCAAGCGUUAUCCGGAUUUAUUGGGUGUAAAGGGCGUGUAGGCGGGAGCGCAAGUCAGAUGUGAAAACUCAGGGCUCAACCCUGAGCCUGCAUUUGAAACUGUGUUUCUUGAGUGCUGG
rnacentral:rRNA from 1 species